rnacentral:ncRNA from 1 species
UUCCAUAUGAUGACUGGAAGUAUUAAGGAUAACUUAUUGUAUAGAGAGCUGUUGGUUGGUGAAAAACAGCGAAUAAGUUCCCCAACUCGUCCAUGAGUAUUUGUGUUGAAAAAAGUAGGCACAAACGGUUGCUGCCGUUAUCAGUGAGGAUUAUAAAAAUCCUGCAGAGUGAGCUUUUUAAAGCUAAUUAGAGUGGUAACGCGAAUUCAAACUUCGUCUCUUUU